rnacentral:pre_miRNA from 1 species
AGUACAAUUGCUGGAUUAUAUGCUAGGAGUAUAUAUCAUUUUGUAAGAAACUGCUAAACUGUUUUCUAAAAUGACUGUACCAUUUGCCUUCCCACCAGCAAU